CAGCAGCCGCGGUAAUACAGAGGAUGCAAGCGUUAUCCGGAAUGAUUGGGCGUAAAGCGUCUGUAGGUGGCUUUUCAAGUCCGCCGUCAAAUCCCAGGGCUCAACCCUGGACAGGCGGUGGAAACUACCAAGCUGGAGUACGGUAGGGGCAGAGGGAAUUUCCAGUGGAGCGGUGAAAUGCGUUGAGAUCGAAAAGAACACCAACAGCGAAAGCACUCUGCUGGGACGACACUGACACUAAGAGACGAAAGCUAGGGGAGCAAAUGGGAUUAGAGACCCGCGUAGUCCCUGUCUCUUAUAC
rnacentral:rRNA from 1 species